rnacentral:lncRNA from 1 species
UUUUGUGCUUCCCAGAACCGUCCAGUAAAUGGUGCCACUUUUAUGUUGGCAAAUUUAGACCACCUUAUCCAAGAUGAACGAGCACCAAUUCGAAUAGGCGGUUUGAUAACCAUGAUUGGCAAUGCUAUCGGAUUACGUCAGCCUAUGCUUGACUUAAGCCCUUUUUGUGGCAUUACUAUUAUGAGUAUAACCUUCCGUAUGUUCAAC